GAUGAACGCUGGCGGCGUGCCUAAUACAUGCAAGUCGAGCGAACUGAUUAGAAGCUUGCUUCUAUGACGUUAGCGGCGGACGGGUGAGUAACACGUGGGCAACCUGCCUGUAAGACUGGGAUAACUUCGGGAAACCGAAGCUAAUACCGGAUAGGAUCUUCUCCUUCAUGGGAGAUGAUUGAAAGAUGGUUUCGGCUAUCACUUAUAGAUGGACCCGCGCCGUAUUAGCUAGUUGGUAAGGUAACGGCUUACCAAGGCGACGAUACGUAGCCGACCUGAGAGGGUGAUCGGCCACACUGGAACUGAGACACGGUCCAGACUCCUACGGGAGGCAGCAGUAGGGAAUCUUCCGCAAUGGGCGAAAGCCUGACGGAGCAACGCCGCGUGAGUGAUGAAGGUCUUCGGAUCGUAAAACUCUGUUGUUAGGGAAGAACAAAUUUGUUAGUAACUGAACAAGUCUUGACGGUACCUAACCAGAAAGCCACGGCUAACUACGUGCCAGCCGCCGCGGUAA
rnacentral:rRNA from 1 species